CACAAACACUCCAUCCAUGCUUUUGUUCCGGCCCUCCGGUCCAGUUUAAGAACCCAUUGUGGUCCUCCAGUCAGAAAGUUUGCACACCCCUGGACUAGAGGAAAGGAGAGGGAGAGA